AGAUAUGUUUGAUAUUCUUGGUUGUUGCAUUUUUUUCAACCAGAAAUCAGACAUAUGCUUA
rnacentral:pre_miRNA from 1 species